GCCCGCACAGCCCUCACACCCCUCGCAGCCCUCACAGCCCUCACACCCCUCACACCCCUCACAGCCCUCACAGCCCUCACACCCCUCACAGCCCUCACAGCCCUUACAGCCCUCACAGCCCUCACACCCCUCACAGCCCUCACACCCCUCACAGCCCUCACAGCCCUCACACCCCUCACAGCCCUCACACCCCUCACAGCCCUCACAGCCCUCACACCCCUCACAGCCCUCACAGCCCUCACAGCCCUCACACCCCUCACAGCCCUCACAGCCCUCACAGCCCUCACACCCCUCACAGCCCUCACAGCCCUCAUCCUGGCUCCCUCCUCCACCGUCCUGGGCAAAGAGGCAUUGGGAUGACCAUGGGUGUGUCGUAAGAUGUGAUGAGUGGCAACUACAAGCAGGAGUGCUGCAACCAGCUGGAAGGGAUCCCACACCUGGCCAAGGGUACAUGCUGCAUCCCCUGGCCUUGCUACAAAGCCAGACCAUAAUGUAGCUGAAGGCAAGGCCCUUUCGUCUCUCUCCGAGCUUGCAAGCAGCUCACGUUAGCCGGGCCUUUUGCUAAGUAAACUUUAAAAAUGUGAAGCAAUAACAAUUUGAGUUAGAAUCUUGCAGAGUACUAAAAUGGAAAUAUUACCUCGGGAGCUUCCACAGGAAGGAUCUGGGAGGAAACAAGAAGCUUAAAUGUAUAGAAGCACGCAGCAGAUACAGGCUGUAUAUUCUCAGCAUUAAACCCAGGGCUGUUAUUUUCUUAAAUAUAUUUGGAAAUAAACAAAAGGAUUUCGUACGUGCCUGGGUGGCUGUGUGUUCCUGAAGCCAAACUGCACCGAGGAGAGGAGAGAGAGAGGGAGGAAAAGAGAGAGAAAACGAAGAGUUACAGAAAGUUUGCAAGAUGCAGUUGCAGGGAACAGUUGUUCAUUUUUUCUUUCCUUCUCUGCAUUUUGGGUCUGUUUGAAAGGCGCGGAAUCAGCAGAGUGCUUUGCUGCGCAGCCCCUCAAAUACAACGGGAGGGGAGAUUCGUAGCAUCCUUUGAACCUUACUUUGCAUUUAAAAUAUUUAAAGCGUCCCAGAAGGCUCUGUGAGGCUUUUUCAAGGUGUGGAAAGUAUCGGCUCUUAUGCUUUUAAAAAGCAUACACUGCUGGUUUAUUAUUAACACACUGGGAAGUACAUAAGGCCCACAACUUUAUUCUCUUUAAUGAGCCUGGAAAAGCACGUUGGCCCUGAAGGGUUUUGUUCAUUAAAGAUGUAGGCUGUAGGAAUAUUGUCUCAUUAAUUAUCUGGUUUUAAUUACACUGUUACCCUUUGAAUCCAUAUAUUUGGGGGGGGGGGGGGGGGGGAGUGGAAAAGUUGCUAUAACCAGACCCUCACAAUCCGCAGCGAGGGCGUGUCGAGGUUUAAGGCUGAAGAAGCAGCAGAGACUCGGACAGGAAGUGCGGGAAUUGCGGGGAUGCUCCUGCUGGAAGGAUGGACGGAUGGACGCAGGGGUGGGGAGGAAGUGGAGGUGGGAGGAAGAGGGGUCUCCGCGCGUGUCGAGCUGCGCGCACACCAGGAAAUAUCUAUUUCCCCGUGUCUGUCUGCAGCCGCCUCUCGGCUACCGGCCGUCUUCCGAGCUGGGCUGGUACCGGAUAGGAUGCGCCGUGGGGAAACGGGAGAGCUGGGUCGCCAGGCUCAGGGCGCGUCCCCCUCCGUGAGA